GGACUACCAGGGUAUCUAAUCCCGUUUGCUCCCCUAGCUUUCGCGCCUCAGCGUCAGAAGAGGUCCAGCACGUCGCUUUCGCCACCGGAGUUCCUUCCGAUAUCAACGCAUUUCACCGCUCCACCGGAAGUUCCACAUGCCCCUACCUCCCUCGAGACAGCCAGUAUCCACGGCAGUUUUCCGGUUGAGCCGAAAGAUUUCACCACAGACUUGGCUGCCCGCCUACGCGCCCUUUAAGCCCAGUGAUUCCGAACAACGUUCGCUCGGUUCGUCUUACCGCGGCGGCUGGCAC
rnacentral:rRNA from 1 species